rnacentral:rRNA from 1 species
UACAGAGGUCUCAAGCGUUGUUCGGAUUCAUUGGGCGUAAAGGGUGCGUAGGUGGCGGGGUAAGUCUGGUGUGAAAUCCUGGGGCUCAACCCCGGAACUGCACUGGAUACUGCUUUGCUAGAGUACUGGAGAGGGAACUGGAAUUUACGGUGUAGCAGUGAAAUGCGUAGAUAUCGUAAGGAAGACCAGUGGCGAAGGCGAGUUCCUGGACAAUUGCUGACGCUCAGGCACGAAAGCGUGGGGAGCAAAAGGG